CAGCAGCGGCGAGGAAUGUUGCGGUGCGCUCCAGGGCUGGGCAGCCGGAGCGCAGUAGCACUGGCCGCGCCCGGGAGCGGGGAUCUGCGGAGUCCGCGAAGCCCCUGGCGGCCGCGGGACGGGUGGAGAGACAGGGGAUCCGGCUGGGAAAAGCACAAGGGUGAAUGAAGGAGAUGGUGGACCAUCUGGUUAACACUGAAAUUAACAGCCAACGCAUUGCUUCUGUGGAAAACUGCUUUGGGGCAUCUGGACAACCCUUAGCUGUGCCAGGAAGAGUCCUUUUGGGUGAAGGAAUUUUGACCAAAGAAUGCCGCAAGAAGCCCAAGCCUCGGGUAUUCUUUCUUUUCAAUGACAUCCUUGUGUAUGGGAGCAUAGUAAUAAACAAAAGGAAGUACAACUCCCAGCACAUCAUACCUCUCGAAGAUGUCACCUUAGAGAUGCUGCCGGAUACCUUACAAAUGAAGAACCGAUGGAUGAUUAAAACUUCAAAGAAGUCCUUUGUCGUUUCUGCAGCCUCCCUCACAGAAAGGAAAGAAUGGCUCAGUCACCUUGAAGAAUGCAUUAGGCAUCUGCUGACGAAGACAGGGAGGCAGCCCUCCACGGAGCAUGCUGCCCCUUGGAUACCCGACAAGGCCACUGAUAUCUGCAUGCGCUGCACGCAGACCAAGUUCUCCACGCUCACUCGCAGACACCACUGUCGGAAGUGUGGCUUCGUUGUGUGUGGGGACUGCUCCAGACAGAGGUUCCUGAUGCCGCGCCUGUCCCCCAAGCCGCUGAGGGUCUGUAGCCUGUGCUACAGGCAGUUGAUGGCAGAAAAGAAGAAGGAAGCAGAAGUUGACCUGAGGCAGCCAGAGCACAUUGACUCUUCCAUGACUGGUUAUGAACCAUCUAGUGGUGAAGACAGUGAUAAAUCUGAUGAUGACAAAGUGGAACGGUGGCCGGGAGACGCGGAGUUUUAUGCCUCAGAAGUAUCUUGGUCGUCUUUCCAUAGUUGACCUUCUUACCCUUGGCUUAAAGCCUGAGGAGCCAAAUUCUGACUUCUGUUCCAUGCAUAACCCUCAGUGUUUUCAGUGUGCCAAUGUCCAGCCAGUUCAUAUUAUUCAACCGAUUUGUCAAUAAAGAUACGGCCGAGGAGGGGAGAAAAAGUGACAAAGUAAAUGUGCUGUUAUUUAACAAAAAAAACAAGCAUUGGGUCAUAUGCUUUGAUCUAAACACAUCCAGUCUAGGGUGAAUUCAGCAGCAACUCUUCCGUUAUGUACUGAACAUUUGGGUUUUCUAUUUACUACUUGAAAGUGAAUAUUACUGAAAAAUAUCCAAGUCUGUGGCUUCCUUUCUCUUUAUUCCAUUCGUUCUCUGCAGACUAAGUUUUCCCAAGACUCUUGCUAUCCCCUGCAGUAAUUGAAGUGGUGUUUUCUGGUGGGGGAGGAGAUAGUGCAGAAAGGGCCAACAAACCUCAUGACCAAAACACGUGUUUCUGUUUUUUAGAGUACUAAAGAACAUUGAGUCCUAUUUUUUACAUCCCUCUUCAAAUUCUAGUUCAUAAUUAUGAACAGGGGGAAGUGCAUUUAUAAAGCCUCCCUCCUACAAGUGAGUAUAGGCUUCAUAAACAAAAUAGGACCUUAACAAAAAUAAGUAAUUACAAAUAUCAAAUACAAAAGCCCACAACAGAAGCCCCAACCUUCCCUAACGUAAGGCCUGAUGUAUGCCCUUAUCAGGCAAAACUCCCAGUGCCUUCAGCUGAGUCCUUAAUAACUGACUCCAGAAAGAGAUUCCAGUUUUUUUAUUUUUUUUCCCCUCUGAGAUCAGCUUUCUCUCCUCCCAUAUAUAGACAUGUGCUGCAGUUAAUGGGACCUAAUCACUGUAUGGACUGAUUUACUCUGUGGUGAAAGGGGCUUAUACUUAACAGACAUCUUCGAUUCAGAAAAGUUCCCUCUCUAAACUGCAGCAAUGAACUGCCCUAGAACCCAGCUGCUUGUAAAAUGUGUACUGCAGUGCAUGCCCUUUCCUGGAGUGCUGAAACAACCUACCUAUUCUGCCCUUCCCUGUCCCAUCCCGUCACCUCUCAAGAGGCUGGUGAGAAUAAAAGUUAGUGGGUAGAAAAUAAACAGUAAGACACUAAGGAAAGGGCUGAUGAUUUAGUGUCUCAGUCACUAAUAUUUCUGUGAAUCUAAACAAGAUUCUGGGGUUGAAACAUACUUUGCAUUGAGAGCUCUAUACAUGCUCUGAGUGCUUAUCUAUGCUAGGCCUUUUUUGGCUUUUUUCUACAAAAUUUCUCACUGCUGCUAACACUGAUUCACCACCAUCGGUGGACACAUUAGUGUAGAUGAGAGUUUCAGAUACAUAGUGCACAAAACACCAGGAGGCAUGCUCACAAUGGGUCUCCCAUAAUCACUACCACCAGUGGAUCUAAACUAGUGGCAGCAAGGAGGGGACUGUUCAGGCUGACUAGCCCUAGCACUGCACUUAUUUGGGUAAGUAUUACAAGCAGAGAAGAUUGCAGCCAUUGCUGGGCAGGACAUUUCAUAAAACGUUUGUUACUUUUAAUUGUCUGACCAGCUAGUUGUGACUUGGCCAAGACUACAGAAAAGGUGGGUGUCCAGUGCCUUGUGAUUCCUGGCUCUCAGCCCUGUGAACACACAGGCUUUACAGCAGGGUUUGUACUAAUACAAUACCACCUGGAUUUUUAACGUGACUAGCUGUUUGUUCAUUUUGUU